AUUUUGUUUUAUCCUAUUUUGAGACCUAGUUUUCAAUUUGACGUUUUUAAGGAGAAGGCAUGUUAGAAAAAUGAAAUGGAUUUUAAAGAAGCAGAGUGCAUGUCGGAAAGUAAUGCAUGUUAGGAUUGAAAAUGCCCUCACAAUAGUAGGUGACAUACAAAUUCCGAAUUUUGUAAAAGAAUUGUUUCAAAAAAGACCAUCAUGUGCCACCUUGGUACCUGAUAACCUAUGCGAUGAAAUACCAUACAUUGAGGAGUUAAUAACUAACUUGCAAAUUCCUCAGAUAGAUAAACAGAAGUUUAGGUGGCAAUACGUGUGAGAAGUGAGAAGUAGCAAUAGGAAACUUGUGAAGAGGUUAACUCUGACCUAUCCUAUUUAUUAUUUUGUUAUGCUCUCGUUGUUUUGUCGUUAUAG
rnacentral:lncRNA from 1 species